CUCUUGCAACAUUCCCGCGUGUUUCGAUCAGGCCAUCCAAACACGGAAACCAUAAAGUAAUUGUAUAAUGAGUUUUUUAUCACAUUUAAAUGUUAAAAAGACCUGCAUAUAAGGAGAAAUGUUUAUUACAUAACGGGUGUUUAGUGGAGAGAGGCGCCUAUUACAAAUUCUCGUCUGACUAGGAGGCAAUUGGAUAUCCGCGACGUUAAUUUAUAAAGAGUAGGCGGUUAUUAGAUUAUUAACAGCCGACUAUGCGUAGCCAAACGAGCAAGAAGAACCCAGACUUUACUGUUACUACUAGGAAUUAGGAAAGUAAGUGAACUUUACCGUGAUGCUUAUAUGGAAACAUUGCCAGGUCCUCUCCAUUGAUUGCUACUGAGCUGUCUCUUUUUAAAUGUACAUCAGUUGUGUUGAAAUGUACAGUUACGGUCUUAGUGCACGCUUGAGAAUUGUCUGUGCCACAAGGAAAGUUAUCGACAAUCACUAAGAAUGUGUUAGCCACUGAGUCUUGAGCAAGAAUGUAUUUACAAUGACCCAUGAACGAGUAGUACUUGCCAUCAAACGUUCUGUAAUGUGGGUCGCCUAUUGCCGAACAUCUGCCUGAAAAUA